GUCCAAAAAUGUCAAUUUGUCCAGUAGAUUAAUUGUUCACAUGAAUUUGAACGAUAUAUUUUAUGUGUAAGGACUAAGGAGAGUCUACGGGCACGGUAAAGGAUAGAUCCGAUUUAACAAGGAUGAGAUUGAUAGAAAACCCAGACUUCGGAUCUGUUUGGAAAAGAAAAUAAAUACAUAUAUGAGAAGAAAAUUAA